rnacentral:sRNA from 23 species
AUGUACGUCAGUAUAUGGGGAUGUUUCCCCCACAUUCAACGCCGAGAAUAGAGGAAAAAUUAAAGGGGAGAUAAAAUCCCCCCUUUUUGGUUAACU